GGUGAACGCUGGCGCUAGGCCUAACACAUGCAAGUCGAACGGCAGCACAGUAAGAGCUUGCUCUUACGGGUGGCGAGUGGCGGACGGGUGAGGAAUACAUCGGAAUCUACUUUUUCGUGGGGGAUAACGUAGGGAAACUUACGCUAAUACCGCAUACGACCUACGGGUGAAAGCAGGGGAUCUUCGGACCUUGCGCGAUUGAAUGAGCCGAUGUCGGAUUAGCUAGUUGGCGGGGUAAAGGCCCACCAAGGCGACGAUCCGUAGCUGGUCUGAGAGGAUGAUCAGCCACACUGGAACUGAGACACGGUCCAGACUCCUACGGGAGGCAGCAGUGGGGAAUAUUGGACAAUGGGCGCAAGCCUGAUCCAGCCAUACCGCGUGGGUGAAGAAGGCCUUCGGGUUGUAAAGCCCUUUUGUUGGGAAAGAAAAGCAGCAGGUUAAUACCCCGCUGUUCUGACGGUACCCAAAGAAUAAGCACCGGCUAACUUCGUG
rnacentral:rRNA from 1 species